rnacentral:rRNA from 1 species
UCUGCUGGCCAUGCCACCCUGAACAAGCUCGAUUCCGUCUAAUCUUGGAAGCUAAGCAGGGUUGGGCCUGGUUAGUACUUGGACGGGAGACCACCUAGUAAGACCAGGUGCUAUAAAUG